rnacentral:rRNA from 1 species
UACGUAGGUGGCGAGCGUUAUCCGGAUUUAUUGGGUUUAAAGGGUGCGUAGGCGGCGAUUUAAGUCGGUGGUGAAAGGUAGCAGCUUAACUGUUUUACAUGCUGCCGAUACUGAAUUGCUUGAGUUAUCGAGAGGCAAGUAGAAUUUCCGGUGUAGCGGUGAAAUGCAUAGAUACCGGAAGGAAUACCGAUUGCGAAGGCCACUUGCUAUAGAUAAACUGACGCUGAGGCACGAAAGCGUGGGGAGCGAACAGG